rnacentral:rRNA from 1 species
UACGUAGGGUGCAAGCGUUAAUCGGAAUUACUGGGCGUAAAGCGUGCGCAGGCGGUGAUGUAAGACAGGUGUGAAAUCCCCGGGCUUAACCGGGGAACUGCAUUUGUGACUGCAUCGCUGGAGUGCGGCAGAGGGGGAUGGAAUUCCGCGUGUAGCAGUGAAAUGCGUAGAUAUGCGGAGGAACACCGAUGGCGAAGGCAAUCCCCUGGGCCUGCACUGACGCUCAUGCACGAAAGCGUGGGGAGCAAACAGG